rnacentral:rRNA from 1 species
AGAAGCAACCGGAAGCUUAUGUUCUGGCUCGUUAGAAGUCACCCUGGUUUUUUUUCUAAAACGCAUAGAGAGUAGGGGCUGGGUAAAGACGGGGUGCCAGCCGCGCGGUAAUACCUGCAGCUCGAUGUGGGUGGGCUUAUUAUUGGGCCUAAAACGUCCCGUAGCCUGUUUACUAAAUGCCUAGGUAAAUUUGUGUGGCUUAACCAUACGAAAUUCUGGGUAAGACCUGGUAAACUUGAAACUGGGGAAGAAAGCUAAGAGGGUACUCCCUGGGGGUUAGAGGGUGAAAUUUCUUUGUAAAUCCCUAAGGGGGGGACCACCCAGGUGGGCGAAAGGGGCGUUCUAAGGCUAAGAAACCAGGGUUCUUGACCGGUAGAUGGGGACGAAAGCCCUGGUGGGCGCAAAACGGGGAUUUAAGAAUACCCCCGGGUUAUUGUCCAGGGUGUAAACGCUGCUUGCUUGAUGUUGGUUUGGGGCUCCGAGCCCGAUCAGUGUCGGGAAAGAAGUUUGUUAAGCCAAAGCGUGCCUUGGGAAGUACGGUCGCAAGACUGAAACCUUAAAGGAAUUUGGCGGGGGAGCCCGCCAACGGGGAGGGACGCGUGCGGUUUAAUUUGGAUUCAACGCCGGAAAGCUCCACCGGAGGGAGAACGGGUUAUAUGAAGGCCAGGGCUGAUGACCUUGCCCGAUUUUCCCGAGAGGUGGUGCCAUGGGCCGUCGUCAGUUUCGUACCGGGUAAGGGCGUUUCUGGUUUAAAGUCCAGGACAACCGAACCAAGACCCUCGUCUUUAGUUGCAACUGGUAAGGUCCGCUUAUCCAGGCACCACUAAAGAGACCGCUGGCGCUAAGUCAGAGGAAGGCGAGGCCACGGUAGGUCAGUAUGCCCCUGAAUCCUUCGGGCUACACGCGCGCUACAAGGCUAGGACAUGGGAUUCGACACCGGAAGGGUGAAGGUAACCUCGAAACCUAGUCAUAGUUCGGAUCGAGGGUUGAAACUCACCCUCGUGAAGGUGAUUCCGUAUACUAGUCGUCACUAUCCGGAAUCGAG